UAUGACCUCAAGUUAGGUGGGAUGACCUGCUGAGUUUAAGCAUAUCAAUAAGUAGAGGAAAAGUAACUUACCAAGAUUCUUUUAGUAAUGACAAGCGAACUAAGAAGAGCCCAGCUUGAGAAUUAGGCACCCCUGAUGUUUGAAUUAUAGUCUGAAGAAGCAUCAUCACCAGUUGAUCGAGCCUAAGUCCCCUUAAAAGAGGAUAAAUAAGGUGAAAGUCUUAUUGUGCCUGGACUAUAAAGCCACCAAGCGCUAUCUGCAAGUCAAGUUGUUUGGGAAUACAGCCUCAAUCAGGCAGUAAAUUUCAUCCAAGGCUGAAUAUAGGUGAAAGGCCAAUAACAAACAAGUACCAUGAAAGAAAGAUGAAAAGAACUUUGAAAAGAGAGUCAAAGAGUGCUUGAAAUUGUCAAAAAAAAAAACGGAUAGGGGCUGACGAUAUGCCUUAAUUGGAUAUGGAAUGGUAAAAGCUAAUCCGCCAAUCGACUCAAGGCAUAGAUUGAUGUAGGUCAUGAUGAUGGCCUAAGCCCGAACUUUCAAAUUCCUUGUAGAGACGUCAUCAUUACAAUUGUGGAAUGUAGCACGUAUUGUCUCAGUGUUCUCCAACACUGACAUGCUCCUAACGUUGGCCUGCAGACUCCCCAUCCGGCCUAUCUUGAAAUACAGACCAAAGAGUCUGACAUGUGUGUGAGUCAACGGGCUAGAAAACUCGUAAGGUGCAAGGAAGCUGAUUGGUGGGAUCUUUCAUCAGUGCAUCAUCGAUCGAAGAAGGGUUCGAGUGUGAGCAUGUCUGUCAAGACCUAAAAGAUGGUGAACUAUGCCUAAGCAAGGCAAAGCCAGAGAAAACUCUAAUGGAAGCCCACAACGAUACUGACUUGCAAAUCGUUUGUCUGACUUGGGUAUAGGGGCAAAAAACUAAUUGAACCACCUAAUAGAUGGUUCCCUCUAAAGUUUCCCUUAGGAUAGCUAGAGCCCUUAGCUAGUUCUAUCAGGUAAAGCCAAUGAUUAGAGGCUUCAGAGGCAUAAUACCCUCAACCUAUUCUUAAACUUUAAAUAGGUAGGAUGGCAUGGCUACUUCAUUGAGUCACUCCACGGAAUUAAAAGCUCCAAAUGGGUGAUUUUUGGUAAGCAAAACUGGCAAUGUAGGAUAAAUCAAAAGCUGGGUAACGAUGUCCAACUGCGCACUAACCUAGAACCCACAAAGGGUGUUGGUCGAUUAAGACAGCAAGAUGGUGGUCAUAAAAGUCAAAAUUUGCUAAAAAGUGUGUAACAACUCACCUGCUGAAUCAACUAGCCCCAAAAAUGGAUUGCACUUAAGGGCAUAACUUAUACCUAGCCAUCAGGGCAAAGGCCAAGCCCUAAUGAGUAGGAAGGCAUGGCAGUCAUCGCAAAACCCAAGGUGUGAGCCCGGGCAGAGUGACCGUUGAUGCUAAUAUUUGUAGUAGUAGCAAAUAUUCAAAUAAAAACUUUAAAGGUCAAAGAAGGAAAAGGUUCUAUGUGAACAGUACUUGCACAUGGGUUAAUCAAUCCUAAGAGAUAAGGGAAGCAUGUCUAACAACACAUCCAGUGUAGGCUUCAAAAGAGAAUCCGGUUAAAAUUCUUAAACCGAGAUGUGAUAGCUUACGGUAACAUUAGGGAGUCUAGAAACAUCGACGAGGGCCUCGGAAAGAGUUAUCUUUUCUAUUUAAUGGCCUAUCCACCUUAGAAAUGGCUCAGUUGAAGGUAGGGUCUAGCCAUCGAAAAAGCACCAUACGUUGUGUGGUAACCGGUGCACCCUAGGUGACCUUUGAAAAUUUGAAAGAUCGAGUGCCAUCCAUACCUGGUCGUACUCAUAAUUACAUCAAGUAUCCAAGGUGAAUAGCUUCUGGUCGAUGGAAUAAAGUAGGCAAAAAAAGUUGAUAAAAUGGAUCUGUAACCUCAGAAAAAAGAUUGGCUCUGAGGGUUGGGCACGAGGGUCACAAUAUCGAACCUGUCGACUGUCAAUGCAAUGCUUGACUACUCCUACGGUGAAAGCGAGUCACCACAUGUCGAUCGAGGGAUGGACUGGGAACGGCUCCUUCGAAGGCCUUUUUCGAGCAACGAACAGUUGACUUAGAAUUGUUAUAAACAAGGAGAAUCUAAUUGUUUAAUUAAAACAAAGCAUUGUGAUGGUCCAUGCAGAUGCUCACGCAAUGUGAUUUCUGCCUAGUGCUUUAAAUGUCAAAGUGAAAAAAUUCAACCAAUAGUGGGUAAACAAUGGGAGUAACUAUGACUCUCUUAAGGUAGCAACAUGUGUCGUCAUCUAAUUAGUGACACGCAUGAAUGGAUUAGCGAGAUUCUCGCUAUCCCUUUCUACUAUCCAAUGAAACCACAGUCAAAAGAACAGGCUUGGUAGAAUCAACAGAAAAAGAAGAUCCUGUUGAGCUUAACUCUAGUUCGACUUUGUGAAAUGACUUCAGAGGUGUAAGAUAAGUGGGAACCCUCAGGCGCAAUUGAAAUACCAUUACUUUUAAUGCUAUUUUACUUAUUCUAUGAAUUGGAGGCAGGGCACAACCCCUUCUUUUGGACCCAAGGUUGACCUUGGUCUGUUGAUCCAAGUGGAAAACAUUAUCAAGUAAGGAGUUUGGUAGGGGCGGCACAUCUAUUAAAAGAUAACAUAGGUGUCCUAAGAUGAGCUCAACGAGAACAAUCUCAUGUAGAACAAAAGGGUAAAAGGUCGUUUGAUUUUGAUUUUCAGUAUGAAUACAAACUGUGAAAACAUGGCCUAUCGAUCCUUUAAACCUUCAGAAUUUGAAGCUAGAGGUGUUAGAAAAGUUACCACAGGGAUAACUGGCUUAUGGCAACCAAGCGUUCAUAGCGACAUUACUUUUUGAUCCUUCGAUGUCGACUCUUCCUAUCAUUAUGAAGCAGAAUUCACCAAGUGUUGGAUUGUUCACCCACCAAUAAAGAACGUGAGUUAGGUUUAGAUCCUCAUGAGACAGGUUAGUUUUACCCAACUGAUGGUAGCGUCACAAUAGUAAUUCAACCUAGUAUGAAAGGAACUGUUGAUUCGUACAAUUAGUCAUCGCGCUUAGUUGAAAAGCCAGUGGCACAAAGCUAUCAUGCGCUGUAUUAUGACUGAACGCCUUUAAGUCCAACUACGAGCUUUUUAAUGGCAACAACUUAUAAAUAAGUGAUCAAAGCUGGAAUUAUCAUGGCAAUUGGCAUCAGACUUGCCUUCCAAUGGAUCUUUGUUAAAGGAUUUAGAUUGUACUCAUUCCAAUUACCAGACUCAUGGAGCUUGAUAUUGUUAUUUAUUGUCACUACCUCUCUAAGUCAACAUUGGGUAAUUUGCAUGCUGUAACCUUUCUUGGAUGGGUGGUCGUUUCUCA
rnacentral:rRNA from 1 species